AUACCGGGCCUUUUUGGGCUUGGUAAUUGGAAUGAGGGAGAGUUAAACGGACCAUCGAGUAUCCAUUGGAGGGCAAGUCUGGUGCCAGCAGCUGCGGUAAUACCAGCUCCAAUAGCGUAUAUUAAAGUUGUUGCAGUUAAAAAGCUCGUAGUUGGACUUGUGUGCGCUGUCCGCGGGUGGCCUGCGCCCAAAAGGGCGUUUCGGUUCGGCCCCGGUGGCGCCUUGAAAUCUGCAGCUGGGGGGACGUUGGCCUUAACUGGUCGGCGACCGCACGCCGGCUGCUCGGUUACUGUGAGAAAAUUAGAGUGUUCAAGGCAGGCAUUGGGUGCAAUUGAAUACAUUAGCAUGGAAUAAUAAAAUAUGGCUCCUGCCGUAUUUUGUUGGUUUUGACUGGUGGGAGUAAUGAUUGAUAGGGACGGUUGGGGGUGCUAGUAUUGAGCGGCCAGAGGUGAAAUUCAUGGAUUCGCUCAAGACUAACUUAUGCGAAAGCAUUCACCAAGGACGUCCUCUUUAAUCAAGAACGAAAGUUGGGGGAUCGAAGACGAUCAGAUACCGUCGUAGUCUCAACCAUAAACUAUGUCGACUUGGGAUCGGCGGUAGUUUUUUCAUUAAGACACUGUCGGGACCACGGGAGAAAUCAAAGUGUCUGGACUCUGGGGGAAGUAUGGUCGCAAGGCUGAAACUUGAAGGAAUUGACGGAAGGGCACCACCAGGAGUGGAGCCUGCGGCUUAAUUUGACCCAACACGGGGAAACUUACCAGGUCCAGAGAUGUAGAGGAUUGACAGAUUGAAGCUCUUUCUUGAUCACUUCGGUGGUGGUGCAUGGCCGUUCUUAGUUGGUGGAGUGAUUUGUCUGGUUAAUUCCGUUAACGAACGAGACCUCAGCCUGCUAGUGUAGUCGGCUGGAUUGCCUUUGGCGAUCCGUGAUUUCGACUUCUUAGAGGGACAAUCGACGCGCAGUCGAUGGAAGUUUGAGGCAAUAACAGGUCUGUGAUGCCCUUAGAUGUUCUGGGCCGCACGCGCGCUACACUGCUGGGCUCAGCGAGUUUUACUUGGCCGAGAGGCCCGGUUAAUCUUGUGAAAUCCCAGCGUUCUUGGGCUCGCCUCCUGCAACUGGAGGCGCCAACGAGGAAUUCCUAGUAGACGCAGGUCAUCAACCUGCAUCGAUUACGUCCCUGCCCUUUGUACACACCGCCCGUCGUUCCAUAAGAGUGAGGCAUCCGGUGAAUUCUCGGGAGAGCCUGGGCGUGGCCAGCAAUGGUCUGCUCGGGUUUGAACUUGCAUAAACUUGGUGCCUAUGAUUAGGG
rnacentral:rRNA from 1 species